GACGAACGCUGGCGGCGUGCUUAGCACAUGCAAGUCGAACGAAGAGCGAUGGAAGCUUGCUUCUCUCAAUCUUAGUGGCGAACGGGUGAGUAACGCGUAAUCAACCUGCCCUUCAGAGGGGGACAACAGUUGGAAACGACUGCUAAUACCGCAUACGAUCUAAUCUCGGCAUCGAGGAUAGAUGAAAGGUGGCCUCUACAUGUAAGCUAUCACUGAAGGAGGGGAUUGCGUCUGAUUAGCUAGUUGGAGGGGUAACGGCCCACCAAGGCGAUGAUCAGUAGCCGGUCUGAGAGGAUGAACGGCCACAUUGGGACUGAGACACGGCCCAGACUCCUACGGGAGGCAGCAGUGGGGAAUCUUCCGCAAUGGACGAAGGUCUGACGGAGCAACGCCGCGUGAGCGAUGACGGCCUUCGGGUUGUAAGGCUCUGUUAAUCGGGACGAAAGGCCUUCUUGCGAAUAGUGAGAAGGAUUGACGGUACCGGAAUAGAAAGCCACGGCUAACUACGUG
rnacentral:rRNA from 1 species